rnacentral:rRNA from 1 species
AUCGGUCGUGAGCGUAGGAAAGUUGGGAGGGGCUGUCCUUAGUACGAGAAGACCGGGAUGGACAUACCUCUGGUGUACCAGUUGUCGUGCCAACGGCAUAGCUGGGUAGCUAUGUAUGGACGGGAUAAGUGCUGAAAGCAUCUAAGCAUGAAGCCCCCCUCGAGAUGAGAUUUCCCAACUUUGGUUAUAAGAUCCCUCAAAGAUGAUGAGGUGAAUAGGUUCGAGGUGGAAGCGUAGCGAUACGUGGAGCUGACGAAUACUAAUCGAUCGAAGACUUAAUCAACAU